CUAGCCCUAAAUUUAGAUACCCCCUCCCCACACAUGUUAUCCGCCUGAGAACUACGAGCACAAACGCUUAAAACUCUAAGGACUUGGCGGUGCCCCAAACCCAC
rnacentral:rRNA from 1 species